rnacentral:RNase_P_RNA from 1 species
GGAACCGGCUGGACGGUCGCUGUAUCGCAUGACGAUAUGGAGGAAAGUCCGGGCUCCACAGGACAGGGUGCCAGGUAACGCCUGGGCGGCGUAAGCCGACGGAAAGUGCCACAGAAAAUACACCGCCUACGUUCGCGAGAACCGGUAAGGGUGAAAAGGUGCGGUAAGAGC